UUUUUUUUUGGUUGUUAAACCCGUAGCUCUGCACAGAGAAAUCUGGUGUGAAUUCCUCUUUUCACUCCAUAAAUUCAGACUGAAAUUAGAUCGAAUAGUAGGGCUUACUCAUUUCCUUGUGUUCUUACACUCCUUUUCGUCUGUUUUAUGCUCAUAGUUCUUGUUGUGUUUGAGCCCACAAAGCAGUGAGUGACUGCAGAGUGGGGUGUGCCACUGGGAGAGCACCUUUGGGGUGACACCCAAAUAUUAUUCCACUCUCAGUGACAACAAUCAGACAGCAGGAAAUCCUGUAACAGUAAAGCAAAUGCAGCUGAACAUCCCCAGAGUUAAUUUUUUUUUUUUUUGGGGGUGGCAAGACAUAAUUUUACAUUUUCAUGAUGUUAUAAUGAUUACCCAGGGUAUCUCUCUUGGGCACAACUCAGAGCCCAUCAUUCCCCCAGUGCAUAAUUUGACAUUUCUCUGUUGAAUCUCAGGGGCCCUUUUAUUGCCCAGUUACUGAACCUUUUGUUCAAAUCUACAAUUCUUCACUGCCAGGGCCCGAGGGUGACAAUCUGCUGCUCAGCAUCAUCAGGAAAUGUUAACAACUGAUAACUCCAGUCCUUUUCCCAGAUGUUAUAAAUGUGCUGGACAGCAAAGUUCCAACCUCCAAGCCUUAUGCAGCCACUGUUAAAUUCCCUCAAGGUUAAAGAUGAACUUGCACUCUGACCUUGUUUUGCACUUUAGCCUAUUAUUUCUCCUCUCAUGUACCUUCCUUCUUAUCUCACAUCACAAGAGGAUGUGCAGAGCAGGAAAUAUCCUGUGAGACACUUACAAACAGGCAGCUGGAGCUGUAAACACAGAGAUUCAAUAAUUAUUGGUGCUUGUGUGCAUGCUUAAUGUACGGAUAAAAUGGGUAAUCAAUCAGAAACUGUGAUGCAUGACAGAUGAGAGCAGAUAAGAAAAGAAGGGAAAUGGAGAGUUGUAGCUUGGCCCCUCUGAUUAUAGAAAGAAAAUAAGACUUUCAGUGCUGCUUAUCAGUCACACUAGAAUUCUUCUGAGCUCAGAUGCAACACUGGAUAAAUGUAUUUCCAAAGCAAAGCCAAUCUUGAAUCAGAUCCAGGUUAAAAAAAAAAAAAAAAAAACAAACCCAAAAAAGCCCAACCUACCUAGGCCCUUUGAAAAAUACUCUGGAAAAACUGCCAUAUUUGAGCACAUGUUUUAAUGACAGCUAGUACUGGCAUCUAGAUACUUUCUAGAACUACAAAGAGAGUUCCUUUCAGUGCUUUGAUGCCACAUGUGGGACUAAAGGCUGUAUUAAUUCACUACCAAGUGGUUUUGGGAGCAUCUUAGAAUAGCCAAACCCAACUAGAAUGGGUUUUGUUCUGGGGUGUUCUAGAAAGUUGACUUGUUCCGCUCCUAAGGGUUAAUAUUAAUUAUUUAUUUUCCAGCUUUGUCCCUUACUCGCUACUGACAUUCCCAUGAGCAGUCAAAACCAAGUUUCUUUCCUCUUAGAUAUCUUCUCUAAACAUCAAUGUCAACUUUUAUUCAGACAUUUCUUUUGAAGAAACCAUUACUCUUUGCAUUUUACCCCAAAUGAUAUCAUUUGUAUUUAAAAAUGUCAAAACUUCUGCAGGGAAUCCCUGCCCUAUAAUUAGAUCUUUUCUAAGAUGUCAGCACUCAUUAGUGCUGCAGCACAGACAGAAUGGUACAGUUAUCACAGUUUGAAGUGAUAAUGCUUUUGCUAGCAUUUGAUUAUUUAAAAAGUCCCUUUUGUUAAUAUUCUCUGUUUCUAGAUUAAUAUUCUCUGGCUUGGAGGCAUUUAAACAAAUUUUCUUGAAUCAAAUAUCUAAAUAAGAACCAUCUUCUCAGUUCGCCCCUUGACCUUCAUGUGAGCAGGGUUAGGUUCUAUUAGCUGCAUUUUUAGGAAAAACUGAUGGUUAAAGCUUUUAGCUUUGAGAGGAAACAAAUUCCUACUGAAAUACAAAAUCUGCUGCCUCCACUUCCAACCAGUAUUUAAUUCUUGCACCUUUCAGUCAGUUCCCACACUGUCGUGUACAAAUGCAAUGCAGCUUACAUGUGUAAUUGAAUUAAUGUGAAACUCUCAUCAAAUAAAAAGCUGCCUCUAGUCAGACUUCAGAAGAGAGGCCUUGCUGGAGCUGCAAAGAUAGAAAGUGGAACACUUGCUCUGAAAUACUUGAGUUUUCUCUCAAGGUGUUAUUUUCUCACAUAUCUGAAUCUCAGACUUCUCUACCACAUCGAAGGAUGUCUGACACAGAUCUACCCAAUCCUUCUCUAACACCAUGAACCCCAUUUACAAUAUUCUCAUUUUAAUUUAAAAGCUGCUCCUGAGGAAAAAAGCCCUGCCUUUUAUCAUGGCAGUUUUGCUGUGACUGUGAUGUUUCCUCCACCAUUCCUUACAGAAAUUGGAUAGCCUACAGGUGCAUCAUAAUGAAAAGGAGCUCUGUGCAGUCUAUCUCCAGGUUUUCCAACAAGGUGACACUGAAAGACUUUAAUUUUUAAGUUGUAUAAAAUUGGCUUCCUUACUGAGCUCCAAGGUAUGAAACAGUUCGUGUUUUGACAGCUUAUUUAACAGGCUUUGCUGGCUUCACAGGCAGUUUUGUCUUUGGCCAGGAAACAAAGAAACCAGGGACAAUCAGUUCCAGGAUGGAGGAACGAGCUGAAAUAAUUAAAUAAGAAAUAGUAAUGAUUCAUACACUAAGGAGAAAGGGAAAAAUGCCCAUAAUUUUUAAUUUAAAAAAUAAGUAAUUUCAAAUUUCUGCUUUGCUAUCCCCAGCUUCACACUAUGGUUUAGUGAUUGUUUAAAGGCUGGAUUCAGUCUUGGAGGCCUUUUCCAACACUAAUGAUUGCUGUGGUUCUAAAUGUUCAAUAGCUGUACUUAAAUCAGCAAAGCACAAUGGAAGGACCCUUUUGAUGUUUACAUGAGGUAAUAGGAUGAUAUUUCCAUGCUGUAUAAUUGCAGAAAAUAUAUUUACAACAGGUUGAAUCAUUGAUUAAUUUGAAAAGCAUACGUUGACCUUUCUUAGCUAAUCAAUUCCUUCUAAAAAUAAAAAUAGAUUUUUUUAAAAACUAAGAAUAAGGUCUCUUACAAAAGUACUGAAUCCAAAUUCAACAACAUGACAGGUUCAUGCAGAUAGCACAGGGGGAAAAAAGCAUAUCGGAAUCCAAAGUUCUACUUCAAUUUGCAUCUUUUGUGCAAUUUCCACUUAAAAAGCUCAAUUCCAUUAAACAGAGCCAACACUUGCUCAUUAAGUACUGCCAGGUAUGAGAAACUUGGGAAAUAACUGAGACUCUUAUGAAAGAUUACAAUGAAAUAAUGUGGGAUCAUUCACAUUCCUGAGCAUCGCUGUUCAAAUCCCCCUGCUGUCAUUGUCACACGCCACGCAAGGUUUAUAAUGAACUGGUAAACAAAUGUUAGUUAGGAAUUUCUUGGAAGUUUGAAGAACAGGAAGGGUUUAGUGAUCUGUGACAAACACUCUGCUAAGCCACGUGUCCUUUUUGUGGCAGGAUUUAUUCUGGUGCAGCUUCAGGAGGAUCCCUGAUGUGGAUCCAAGCUGGCUCAUGCAUUAAAGACUAAACUCAGCUGUAACUUGAACAGCUCCACACAGUUAUAUCAGGCUGUAAAUGUGGCUGACAUGCCAUAAAACAUUU
ensembl:lncRNA